rnacentral:rRNA from 1 species
UCAAACGCCGGUCCAGGAACCGGGGUAAAACGGAUGAUCCAAGCGUUAGCCUGAAUCAUUGGGUUUAAAGGGUCCGUAGGCUGUCUUAUAAGUCAGCGGGGAAAGUGUUUGGCUUAACCGAAAAAUUGCCAUUGAUACUGUAGGGCUUGAAUUAUUGUGAAGUAACUAGAAUAUGUAGUGUAGCGGUGAAAUGCUUAGAUAUUACAUGGAAUACCAAUUGCGAAGGCAGGUUACUAACAAUGGAUUGACGCUGAUGGACGAAAGCGUGGGUAGCGAACAGGAUUAGAUACCCUUGUAGUC